GUCCCUUCGGGGACAUCCGAUAAAAUUGAAUCGAUACAAAGAAGAUUAACAUGGCUCCAACGCAAGGAUGAUAUGCACAAUUCGAGAAAUGGUCCAAAUUAAA
rnacentral:snRNA from 1 species